rnacentral:rRNA from 1 species
ACUCCUACGGGAGGCAGCAGUGGGGAAUCUUGCGCAAUGGGCGAAAGCCUGACGCAGCCAUGCCGCGUGAAUGAUGAAGGUCUUAGGAUUGUAAAAUUCCUUCACCGGGGACGAUAAUGACGGUACCCGGAGAAGAAGCCCCGGCUAACUUCGUGCCAGCAGCCGCGGUAAUACGAAGGGGGCUAGCGUUGCUCGGAAUUACUGGGCGUAAAGGGCGCGUAGGCGGAUCGUUAAGUCAGAGGUGAAAUCCCAGGGCUCAACCCUGGAACUGCCUUUGUUACUGGCUAUCUUGAGUAUGAGAGAGGUAUGUGGAACUCCGAGUGUAGAGGUGAAAUUCGUAGAUAUUCGGAAGAACACCAGUGGCGAAGGCGACAUACUGGCUCAUUACUGACGCUGAGGCGCGAAAGCGUGGGGAGCAAACAGGAUUAGAUACCCUGGUAG